rnacentral:rRNA from 1 species
UACGUAGGGGGCAAGCGUUGUCCGGAUUUACUGGGCGUAAAGGGGUUGUAGGCGGCCAACUAAGUCCGACGUGAAAUCCCAAGGCUUAACCUUGGAACUGCGUCGGAUACUGGAUGGCUUGAAUUCGGGAGAGGGAUGCAGAAUUCCAGGUGUAGCGGUGAAAUGCGUAGAGAUCGGGAAGAACAUCAGUGGCGAAGGCGGUCUGCUGGGCCGUUGCUGACGCUGAGGCGCGACAGCGUGGGGAGCAAACAGG